AAGUCGUAACAAGGUUUCCGUAGGUGAACCUGCGGAAGGAUCAUUAACACGUGAUACUCACGUAUUAAACUAAACGCGAAUUUGUUAACAUAAGCCUAUUAUUAGAGUCAAGCUGACUGUUUGGGAAUGGUGUGAUUACGGUGCUUCGCGCAUAGGGUCUAACUUACAGUCUUAGCGUGCUGGACACGCGGUUUGUUCUAAUAAUAGUAGAUACAAUUUCGGCUGCUUAUUAAGCCUGCACCUUGGCUUGCAGUCGGAGUGAAUAUUACUUACCCUUUAUUUCUAUUUAUUCUGAUUUGUACGUUUAUAUGAAUUCCUAGUAGUGUAACAACUAUUGGUUGAGUUUAUAUAGAUGUCGUAUAUUACUAAUACGAAACAACUCUUAGCAACGGAUAUCUUGGUUCUC
rnacentral:misc_RNA from 1 species